rnacentral:ncRNA from 1 species
GCAGAGUAGGAUCUUGCGCGUUUACCUGUAAAGGUAUCCAGUGCCCGGCGAACGGGGAGUUGUCGCCGGGACGAACAGGCGAUUUGGGGCUGUCUGAAAAUGGCCGCAAAUCUCCGGCGGUGCCGGAUCCGCAUCCCGUUG